UGAAAACAAGGAGCCAUGGGCGGGCAGUGGCCGCGUUUCCACACCCCACCGGGGCUGAGUCUCGCAGCAGGAUCCCUCUCUCCUCUUGAAAGUGGAAUACCCUUUAGGGUACAGUUUUCAGGGUUACAGUUACACAGAGGACUAUGGAUGGAAAGUUGCCUCUCAAGAGAUACCAACUGGCCAGUUUCCAAAGUUUAGGGAAACCAAGGACAGUCUUCACAUUGUUUCUCCACUGAUAUUCACCAUGCAGGAAUAUAAAGAUGUUCUAGCUACAAAGAGAACACUGCCCUUGCCCAUCUUUUUAUUGUCUUGAAGAACUUUUGUGUCUUGAAGAAAUCAACUUAUUGUGGAAAGUUUCAACUUUGAUAUUUGGGAAAACAACGUAUCUGUCACCCCGUUUCAAUAAUGAUUAAUGUUUUUCUUUAGAAAAA